rnacentral:sRNA from 1 species
UGUAGGCCACUCGUCUUCUUGG